rnacentral:tRNA from 2 species
AGAAAAUUAGUUAAAUAUAACGUUAAUAUGUCAUAUUAAAAUAAUUGAUUAUCAAUAUUUUCUG